rnacentral:rRNA from 1 species
GGGUGAGUAACACGUGAGUAACCUGCCCUUGACUCUGGGAUAAGCCUGGGAAACUGGGUCUAAUACCGGAUAUGACCGUCUGACGCAUGUCAGGUGGUGGAAAGCUUUUGUGGUUUUGGAUGGACUCGCGGCCUAUCAGCUUGUUGGUGGGGUAAUGGCCUACCAAGGCGACGACGGGUAGCCGGCCUGAGAGGGUGACCGGCCACACUGGGACUGAGACACGGCCCAGACUCCUACGGGAGGCAGCAGUGGGGAAUAUUGCACAAUGGGCGCAAGCCUGAUGCAGCGACGCCGCGUGAGGGAUGACGGCCUUCGGGUUGUAAACCUCUUUCAGUAGGGAAGAAGCGAAAGUGACGGUACCUGCAGAAGAAGCGCCGGCUAACUACGUGCCAGCAGCCGCGGUAAUACGUAGGGCGCAAGCGUUAUCCGGAAUUAUUGGGCGUAAAGAGCUCGUAGGCGGUUUGUCGCGUCUGCUGUGAAAGACCGGGGCUCAACUCCGGUUCUGCAGUGGGUACGGGCAGACUAGAGUGCAGUAGGGGAGACUGGAAUUCCUGGUGUAGCGGUGAAAUGCGCAGAUAUCAGGAGGAACACCGAUGGCGAAGGCAGGUCUCUGGGCUGUAACUGACGCUGA